UGGGUCUUUUAUUAUUUGUGCUAUACACAUAUGCAGUGCCGGGCUCUGUGGACACAGCAAGAAACUGACGUCUCCAGCCAGCAGCAGCUCCCAGGCUAGACUGGAAGUGGGCCCUUCCCAGAAGGGAACAAGAGUGAGUUCAACUGAAGAAAAAAGGCUUCUCUUGUGGAAGCAGUAUGCCCAUUCAGUCGUGUGAAGACCAGCGUGUGCGGGUGCUGAGUGCCAGUGGUGGAUGGUGCUUGCUGUAAUCCUCCACCCCACUGGUGGCCCCUGGGGAUUGGAUUAAAGAUGGAACUAUUGGAUACCAUGGGCCUGGAGAUGGACUUCACUUCAUUAACUCCUUGACAAGAGAACUGGGAAGCCUGAGGUUAAACACACCUUCUUCAAAGCACUUCCCCAAACCAGGAGGCUAAGCAAGCUUUUGAUGAGAGUGAAGGUCUGGCUUUCUAAGAAGGUGGGGUGGGUGAGCUGCAAAAGGAUAAAGAGCCAGCCUCAUGGAGUCUUUGUCUAUUGAGGUGGACAUGAAAAAUGCAUUCUGUCUGGGGUAAUGUGAGCCCUGGUGUGAAAACCAAGUCGUGCUUCCCCAGACCAGCUGAGAAAGACAUGGCUUUUCUUUCCUUUUCUUUUUUUUUUUUUGAGGACCAUGUAGACCAGGGUGGCCUGAAUCAGAGUGGCCUCCCAGGUUCUGGUAUUAAAGGUGUGCACCUCUGUGCCCAGCCUCCAGUGUGCCACCAUGCCCAACCUCUAGACUUCAUUGCUGAGUAAAAUAGUCACAAUUAA